UUAUUAUUAAAAAUGCUGUAAAAAUGAUCAUAUAAAAAGUUGAGCAUGCUCAUUCUGUUUCCCUAAUAUCUACAAUACAAAGUAUUUGUUUCUCUGUAAUCAUUUUACAAACGUACCAUAGCUGCAUCCAUACAGAAUAUAGAAAACUACAAAUUACAAAAAUAAUUUAAGGAAGGGAAAUGUUUUAGCUUUGUCUUAUAGUUUUAUAGUUUUCUGUGGUG